CUGGCUUUGCUCACUUGAGGGACUGUCACCCAAGUUAACUUUUUUUUCCUUCUUCAAUUUUUGUCUAUAAAAGAAAGCUAUUUCUCCACUCACCACCCUUCUGACACCAAAUGCGUGGGUUUUUCGCACCAAACAAUUCUCCAAUAUUCUGAGAACACUUGGCUGAAUGUCCUGUAAUUUAACUGAAUUCUGACCUUGCCCAGGAUCAGCGCAGACCCCACAGAUUAAAGAGAUUGGUCACCUAAGACUGACUCUCCUUCAGAAGCCACGUGUAAGAGACACGGCCUUUCAGGAGGGCCUGCAGAGGCAAACGAGUCUAAGAUUCACGACAUCUCCAGUUCGUUGACACAUGGGAAAACAGCAGGAACCUAGUGAUGUGGAGGUGGGAGAGGAAGCUUGGAGCAAUUCUAAAUAGAGUUCUUCUGAAACUACCGAUAAUGAAGGUACCUAACACUAUUGCAUACAACGUUUGAGCACUACAGUAAUCCCAUGAAAUAGGUUUCUGCAGUGCUGGUCAGGAUGGAGGCACCCCUCACCUUCGCCAUCGCCAGAACAAAAGCCCCAGUGAACCAACCACCAUGUUCCUUCCGAGAGAAAGUCUGUGACGUUGUCCCUGCUCUUCUUCCCACGUGCAGUCUGUGCUGUGAAAGCGACAAAGAGAGGCUCAGAGCUCAUUUGUUUGUUUAUUUUCAAAUUGAAAGUAAAAAUAGGGGCACCUGGGUGGCUCUGUCAGUGAAGCAUCUGCCUUCAGCGCAGGUCACGAUCCUGGGGUCCUGGGAUGGAACCUUGUGUCGGACUCCCUGUCAGCAGGGAGUCGGCUUCUCCCUCUCCCUCCCCCUCUGCUCCCU